rnacentral:rRNA from 1 species
CUCUUUUACCAGGGAUGAUAAUGACAGUACCUGGAGAAUAAGCUCCGGCUAACUCCGUGCCAGCAGCCGCGGUAAUACGGAGGGAGCUAGCGUUGUUCGGAAUUACUGGGCGUAAAGCGCACGUAGGCGGUUAUUCAAGUCAGAGGUGAAAGCCCGGGGCUCAACCCCGGAACUGCCUUUGAAACUAGAUAACUAGAAUCCUGGAGAGGUGAGUGGAAUUCCGAGUGUAGAGGUGAAAUUCGUA